rfam:Brucella melitensis biovar Abortus 2308 chromosome II, complete sequence, strain 2308
UUCCUUCAUUGGCAGAAAAAAUCGAAAACGGUAGCAUUCAAAAUGAAAACAUCCGAAAGCGAAGCGAUAAUAAUUGGGGAGAACGUGUGAAUAAUAUGCGGGCAACCCGCGUGCCUUCUGAUUCCCCC